UACGUAGGGUCCGAGCGUUGUCCGGAAUUACUGGGCGUAAAGAGCUCGUAGGCGGUCUGUCGCGUCGGCUGUGAAAACCCGAGGCUCAACCUCGGGCCUGCAGUCGAUACGGGCAAACUAGAGUACUGCAGGGGAGACUGGAAUUCCUGGUGUAGCGGUGAAAUGCGCAGAUAUCAGGAGGAACACCGGUGGCGAAGGCGGGGUCUCUGGGGCAGUAAACUGACGCUGGAGGAGCGAAAAGCGUGGGGGGAGCGAACAGG
rnacentral:rRNA from 1 species